GGAGUCUCAAGGCCUGGAAGUGUCUUUUCACCUUGACACUGAUCCACUCUGCAGUGCCGUCUUCCCACAAUCUCUCAGGACCUGUGACCUGUGGGUAGUGGGAUAGACUAAAGCAACCUGAACUUUGAUGCCAUGUCUUUGACCAGUCCGGAUCCUUCACAGCCCACAGCUGGCACAGAGCAGUUCUCUAGAACACUAGCUCAAGUCUCAAGUCUUCUAAGAAGCCUUCCUGGACUUCUCCAGCCUGUGCUGACUUCCCUUCCUCUGAAUUCCUGCUGUGUGUAUGAGUGACAGCAAUCCCUGUUCUACUUAGUCAUCAUGGUCUACCACCUCAGAUCAUGUACACCUCAUCUCCCUGAUGAGACCCCAAGAUCCUCCAUGGUAGAAAUAAGGCCUCUAUAGUGCUCUUAUAUUCCUGCAUAACCCGAAACCCUCAACCCAGAACUAGGCAGUUGGGAGAGCUUCCAUAACUGCUCCUUGAAUGAACAGCAGUGGGUUUCAGGAGUGCCAUGGAGUGGCUGGGGUGAGACAGGGUUGACCCCAGGCAUGUCUCCAACCAAAAACAUUUGGGUAACAUGAGAGUUUCUAAAGAAGCUCCUGCCCCAUCCCCAACCUAAGCCCAUCUGUUCCUCAGUCUCUUCCCUCCUGCUGGGAAGACAAUGACCUCAUAGCCACAAGCCCCCAAAACCCAACUCAUCCUGUCUCUUAACCUGGAGCAAGUAAAGAGGACUUUUAAAAAAUGCCACUGUA